GAGGGACAGAGGAGAAAAUAGUAGGCAAAGUGUUGGCGUGAGGCAGGUGGUGGAUGAGGCAGUCGCAAAGAGAAAGGAUUGCAACAUCAGGGAGGAGAUGAAAGGCCUCAUAUCAUUUUGCAGCCAACAAGAAACCUGAAGGAACUAAGUUUGGCUCUAUUUCUACAGCUUGUGAAAAGCUGAGAAUGGAAGCAAUGACUGGGCUAAUUCUGGACAAAAUUUUUUAAAAUGAUUUUUGUCAGAGGAGCCCAGAUCUUUGCCUCAAUUCUUUGCUUUUGUCUAAAUUGCUCAUUUUUCCAAAUUUCUAGCUCACCAGACAAGAAACAGAAAAGUGUUUUGAGUACUUUGAAUCAAAAGUGGUCUCUGAAUUUAAGGCAUUUUUAUUAUUUUAUGUGUUAUUUGUAGUUCAAAAGGGUCUUCCUAUUCAUCAUAGUAUUAGAGGCAUUUGAUGGAAAAGUAGUGUGCCAAGGUGAUUAGUGACAACAACAACAAAAGCAACUUAUUUUUGAGCCUGUGAAAGGCCCUCUUCUAGACACUUUAUACAACAGCUGUAUCCUUAUUGAUAGCCCUGCAAGAAAAGCUAUUUUCCAAGAAGAAAAAGAAAAUGGAAGUACAAAUUUCCAACAGCACACAUUUUCUCUGCUCUCUCCUUGGCUCUGAAAGAGGAUGCGUGAAACAGAAUUUCAGGCUGUAAUUAAUGCAGCUCUUCAUAAGAUAAGAGGUUCUUUUAUCUACAGAAAAAUUGCUGCACUAAUUCCCAACAAGAAGUGCAAUGCUCCGGUUAAUGCUCUUUCUACAAGAAGAAUUCACCUUUUCUACCCUCUACAUAUUUACAGACAAAUUUGAAUAUUUUGUUAUGGGAAACUGAAGAUGGGUAAACAUACAAUGAUAAUAGUACUUUAUAGGGCUAAAUCUAAAAGCCUUAAAGAUUAAUAUUAUGUUUGGAUAAAUGCUGAAUAAGUUUACAUAAAGAAUUUUCAAAUAACAUUGACGCUACAGGCAUGUACUUGUAAGCACAGACCUUAAUUGGGCACAACUUAGAUCCAGCACUCUUUGAGGGGGAGAAUAAACAAAUUGGGAAAUGCAUCCUCAUUUGAUACAGUGAGGAAAAAGAGCUAUGGUUCCUUGCUCUGCUUUAAAGUACUGUCCAAAGAAGGAUGAAGCCCCGCUAUUUCAUUUUGAUUUAAAUAUUUCCUUGUAGAAUGCACAUUCCAAUUUGGAAACAAUACUUUCUAUAUGUAUGUUUCAUGUAUGUGCUUGGAAUAAUUGGUAAUGUGUUGGCACUGUGUUCCACUUAAAUGCAUGGCAUUUGUAUACUAUUUAAUGUUUUGUUGUUGUUGUUGUUUUUGAGAUGGAGUCUCAGUCUGUUGCCCAGGCUGGAGUGCAAUGGUGUGAUCUAGGCUCACUGCAACCUCUGCCUCCCGGGUUCAAGCAAUUCUCCUGCCUCAGCCUCCUGAGUAACUGGGAUUACAGGCGCCUGCCACCACGCCUGGCUAAUUUUUUUUUUUUUUUUUUUUUUUUUUUUUUUUUUUUUUUUUAGUAGAGAUGGGGUUUCUCCAUGUUGGCCAGACUGGUCUUGAACUCCUGAACUCAGGUGAUCCACACACCUUGGCCUCCCAAAGUGCUGGGAUUACAGGCGUGAGCCACUGCACCGGCCUUUUAAUGUUUUCUUAAAAACCAGUUUUCUAAGAAAAAAAGAAGAAUGGGAAUACAGCAAAUGAGUAGAAGACAGAGAUCACAAGAAUCGUGCCUGAGGUCCUGGCAAAGAAGACCCCACUGUAAGGCAGAAUGGCACCUCUGAUUCAUUGGCCCCUUUGUAUUGUUCUCAAUUUCUAUAUCCAUAAAUAAUAAGAUUUUCAUUCCCUUCCUUCCACUCUGUGAGGUGGAUGUGAAAUAGGUAGAGAGGUUUGUCACUGGGUGCAAGGCUAAGAUGCUCAGUUAAAGCAGGAAAUUACGUUGUUUGGCUGAGAAAUACGUGUAAUUUCUAAGUGUGAUUAUUGCAAGUAAAAAUGAGUGAUGUUUCAACAAGAGGGUUAUUGUAAUUCAGGGUAUAGCAACAAUUUUAAUGUAAGCGAGAAGAUGUUUGUAACACUUCCAAAAAAAUAGUACUGUAUCAGUCCAGUGUCCACUUUCCUCCAAACCUUCGUGCCCACGCACACACACAUAAAUACAUGCAGGAUUCCUGAGCAGGGAAGGAUCCUUUCUCACGUGUUCACAAAGAGACUUUUAAGCUCAGAACCUCUUGAGGGUGAGAAACUUUUCUUGGCAGACUAUCAACUGGUUCUGAGUGAACAAAUCCGACAGAGCCCUUUUCCUUGCUUCUUUUUGUUCAUAUUGUUCACCCUCUCACAGCAAGGAAGGCUGCUAGGUAGAGUAAGGGGACUCUCAAAGGAGAUGAAGGUAAAUUUUUCUGGAAUAGCUGCAGAGCAAUUCUAAUGCUUCAGUUAAUCUGUUACCUCUUUCCUUGCCCCUAGCCUUCAGUUUUCCUUUUGUAUCCUGAAAAUAACAUUGACAUUAAAUUGGGUCAGUGGAAAAAAAUCAGUCACCAACUGUUGCUUAUAAUUUUGCCCCCAAGAAAACAUUUGGUAACUAACCCUUAUCUAGAGUACACACUAUGCACAGCUCCUAGGGUGAUAUUUGAAUCUAUUCACCUUAGGGAAAGUUGUUGAUUCUUUUAGACUCAAAUUUCCACAAUCAGAAAAUUCACCUAAUGCCUUUCUAAUGUGUUAUGCUUCACAGAAGGAGUUUAAGAUCAGUGUAAAUAGAUAUACACCCAAUAGAAGUCAUUGCAAUAUACACGAGCAGACAUGUCCAAGUAUGCUUAUAGUUGCACUAUUCAAAUCAACCUAAACUACUUGAAAUUAAACGGCGAUUGACAGGAAAAUAAAAUGUGGCAUUCAAACAUGGAAUUCUAUAAGGCAGCAAAAAUGAACGGACUACAGCUACAUACAAUACAGAUGAAUCUUAAAAACAUAAUGCAUGAAAACAUAAGUUUCAAAGAUUACUAAUAACAUAAAACCCCCUCUACAUAAAAAAGUAACUUAAGGCCAGGCACAGUGGCUCAUGCCUGUAAUCCCAGUGCUUUGGGAGACCGAGGUGGGCGAAUCACCUGAGGUCAGGAGUUCAAGACCAGCCUGGCCAACAUUGUGCAACCCCGUCUCUACUAAAAACACAAAAAUUAGCCAGGUAUGGUGUUGCAUGCCUGUAAUCUCAGCUACUCAGGAGGCUGAGGCAGGAGAAUUGCUUGAACCCAGGAGGCAGAGGUUGCAGUGAGCCGGGAUCACGCCACUGCACUCCAGCCUUGGCAACAGAGUGAGACUCCAUCUAAAAAAAAAAAAAAAAGUAACUUAAAAAAUUAUUUAGUAGGUAUACCUACAGUGAUAAAACUACAUAAAAAUCCUAAGAGUAGUACUUACACUGGGGGUGGGAAGGCAGGGACAGGAAGAGGGAGAGUAGUACACAGGUGGAUUAUUGUCAGUGUUUCAAACAAACAUUUGUUCAUGUUAACUCAUUAUAUUAUUGAACAUUAAUAAUCAAAGGACCAUGCAUAAGGAAAAAACUGACACGGAAUAUCAAAGUAUUGGCAGAGAAAAACCAUGAUGAGUAUAUAGUGAUGUUCACAGUGAAAUGCCAUAGGAUACUCAGUUUUGUGCAAAAUAAAUAACAAAACUCAGAACUCAUCAUAAGGGAACAUGCCACAGAAUCUGACUCUGGCCACCUCUAAUCGUUCCUCAUGUCUGCUUUUUCAUUUGUUUGUUUGUUUUGAGACAGAGCCUUGCUCUGUUGCCCAGGCUGGAGUGCAGUGGCACGAUCCUGGCUCACUGCAACCUCUGCCUCCUGGGUUCAAGUGAUUUUCCUGCCUCAGCCUCCCAAGUAGCUGGGAUUACAGACGUGCACCACCACACCUGGUUAUUGUAUUCUUAGUAGAGACAGGGUUUCACCAUGUUGGCCAAGCUGUUUUCAAACUCCUGGCCUCAAGUGAUCCACCCACCUCAACCCCACAAAGUGCCUGUAACCACUGCACGAGGACUCCUCACGUCUGUUUGAUCCUUACCUGACUUCUUUGGGAACCAUCUUCCUUCUAGUUUGAAUCCCUAAUUGUAGAUAUUUCCUGUGACUUUAUCUUUGCUCCUCUUUUUUCUUCCCUAUAUAAUCUCUCACUGGAAGAGCACAACCACUCCCAUGGCUCCAACUGCCUUUCAGAUGCUCCCAAAUCCAUCCAUCCAACAUUGAUCUCCCACGGGUAGCAUUAAACCAACUGCUUCCAGGGUAAAUCCUCUAGGAUUCUAGCUAUUUUCUUUUUUCUUUUCUUUUUUUUUUUUUUUUUUUUUUUGAGACGGAGUCUCGAUCUGUCGCCCAGGCAGGGUGACCAGGAACUAGUCACUCAAGCUCUCUGUUAAUUUCCUCAUCUCUGAAAAGCGGUGUCUAUAGAUAUCAUUUCUAAGCUCCUGUUUCUAAAUUUCUAUGAAUUCAUGAAUUAUUGACUCUUCUUGACAUUAGCUAUUUGUCCAGGAUAUCACUAUUAUUCUAGGCUUAUCUUUGACUUAUUUCUAUUUUUGUGUGCUGAUUCCUAAUCUGAUGCCAAAUUUUGUCAUUUCUCUUAUUGAAAUGUCUCUCAAAUUUACCCCAUUUUAUCCAUUUCCUUGGUUUUCCCUUAGUCCUGGACCUAAUAAGUUUAGACUUAGAUUACUUGAAAGGUGUCCAGACAGGUUUCCCUGCUUCCUGUCCCCUCCUUCAUUCAAGUCCUCUGACACACCACUUCUAGAUUAUUCAUGAAAAUAUAAUAAAAAUUGUCACACCCACUUAAGAGCAUUCUUAUUUAAUUCUGUGUUAUCUACUAAAGCAAUUCCAAUAUCUCUGGCUAGUUUAAGACCCUCCAUGACUCCAUGUGACUGAUCUCUCCAGCUUUCUUACCACUCCUCAGCACUUAAACUGCAUUGAAACGAGUGUCAUUGAAGUCACACAAGCAUGUACCUAAACUCCAGCUUCUAAGCCUUUAUCCAUGCCAAUUCCUCAAACUAAAAUGUUCUCUUUCUCUUUUUUCCCAAAGAUGUGCAUUUUUCAAGGACCAACUAAAAUUCCACCUAUUUAGAGCUUUCUCUAGCAUUUCAAGUCUCUGUUAAACUUUCUUCUCACCUAAAUACAACAGCAGCUAAAACUCGAUGAUGGACAAUUGAUUAUUGCUUCUUAAUUUUUCAAAGCAUUGUUUGUUUUAAUCUCCCAACCAAAUUAAAAUAUUCCUAAAGGCAGAAAUCAUGUCUCAAAUCUUUCUUAUAGUUUCCUUUCUUAUGGUUUCUUAUUCAUUGAAUAAAUAUUAAUCUCAAGUGCUGAAAGUGUGUACAUCCUAAAUAAAAUCAGUAUCUAUGAGGAUAUGUUCAAUUUAACCUUUAUUGAGCACUACUUUUAUAAGGGUCUGUGAUAGUCAUGAGGGACUUGAAACUUGAAUACAUAAUUCUCCUUGAGAAGCUCAGACUCUUUUAAAUUUGGAGUAAUACAUUCUACUACCUGU
rnacentral:lncRNA from 1 species